rnacentral:lncRNA from 1 species
UCCAAUAAUUAUAAUAAAAUAAUAAAACAGCAACUACAGUGCAUAAACAAAAAAAAAACAAACGAAAGUGAGUGCAUAAAGAGUUAAAGCCAACAACAUAAAAUAAUAAUACGAAGUUUUUAAUUGUAUUAUGUGCAGUGUAAAAUAUUUUUAAUAAAAAAAAAUUUUGGCGAAACAAAUUACGACUUUUGACUUCCUACAGCCUCUAAAAAUUUUAGUUUUAAUAUCAAAGUGAAAUUUCAACGAGUGUGAGUGCCACGCCUUUCUAAUUUGAACUAAAAAGUUUAGCAAACUCAGCAAAAAAA